CCACAGUAGAAGCAGAAAGGCAGAUACCUCACACUUCCCUCUCCACUGUGCGCACCAGCUACUUCACCACAUCAUCUCUCGUUUGCGGAGCAAGAGUCAGAGCGAACGGGCGACAACGCGGCAACACUGCAACGACGCACCGCCACUCCCACUUUUCUGCUUUUGCAGUUUCCUUGCUCGCGUUGUGUUUUUCACGUUCUCUUCCUCCACCUCCAGUCUUCGUUUGCCGAAUACGAAACGAGUUGCACGUGCGCAGUGGGGCGUGUGCGUGUGUGUGCUCCGGCCAUCUUUCAUGUUAUGUAUAUUCUGUGUUUGGCUUUGUUUUCUCUCUUAGUCGCACGACCACAACGCAUUGGCAUUUACAUUCACCGGCAUCUGCGCGUAGGUUGGGACUCUUAGAGUAGCGCUGCCGGCGCAUCACCGCCGCAUCCUCCGUUGAUCCUUGGCCGCCUCUUCGUACACACACGGAUCAGUAAAAGUGCCACGCACUCAUGUCUCUUUUCGUGGUAAACACUCCCGAACAUGAGGGGCAGCUGAAGGAGCACCUCAUCGCGGCGCACAAGCGCAAGCCGCUCCUCGCCACCGUGUGGGCGAAUCCGCCGUCAGUGCUCAUCACGAACAGCGAAGGUGAGGUGCUGACCCCGGUGACGGAGCCUGCCGGCUCGACGGGACGCACGCAUCAGCCAACGGCAUUGGCGUGGCACCCCAGCGAGGCGCUUCUCGUGAUUGGGUGGAGCAACGGGGAGAUGAGCUUAUGGUUGAUGCCAUCCGUGAGCAGUCUUGCCUUGGGCGAUGACUACACCACGGCAGCCGCACGCAGCGCUGUGCAGUUGAUUGCGGCGAGGGCAGCUGUGCAGAGUAACGCGGAGGGCGCAGUUCGCGAACACGGCGCCGGAGCAGUCCUAGCCGCGGAGUGGUCGACGCGUGGUCUGUACCUCGUCUCCACAUCCCAGCAGCGCCACGUGGUGAUGUGGAUGCUGGAGCAGACCCCAACCGAGACGAGCGUUAACUUUAAGCUGAAACCCCUCUGGUCCGCUCAGGCGCGCGAGCCAAUUGUGCGCAUCAUUCACGUCCCUGGCAAGACCCCUCACUCUCCGACAGUGUUCAAUGCGUACGAUGGCGCCUCCGCUGCCGCUGCUGCGGAGGUCGGCGAUGACGACAUCAGCUUCCUUCUUGCCGACGGUAGCAGCUCUGUGGCGGCCAUCAACGAGGAUCAGCAGCUUUUUCCGUGUGCAAGACAGGAGGAGGCAAUUGUGUCGGUGCUUUACGACGCCACAAGCCGCACCCUCGUUACGCUUACCGCAACCUGCAUGAUUGAGGUGUAUCGUGUAGACGAGGACAUCAAGGGUAGCUCGACGCUGCGGCGCAAGCUAUCGGCCCCCUCCACCACGCCCACCACGUCUGCCGCCACGGGCGAGCGGAUUACCAUGACAAUGGUGUGGGCUUCGCCUGGUGUCGUGGCCUUUGGCAGCGGCGAUGAUCGCGUGCGCGUCUUAGACCUCUCGAACGAGUCGAUGGAUGUGCUGUUGCUCCCGCAGCCUGACCUGCACGUGUCGUCCUUGGCGGCCUUCGCCGCCAAAGGCAUUCUGACUGUCGGUACCGUGGAGGGCGUCUUGGCGGUCUUUCAGCACCGCGCCGCAUCCCUGUCGACAAGCCACCAUGCUUCAGAGGCGAGGGAAACAACGACCAUCAGCUCCCCGUUCGCUGCGGCUGCCGGGGUGGCGAACCAGUGGGAGGCGAUAGCGGUGCACCAGGUUGGCAAGUGCGUCGACCGAGUCGUCUUCACGGCUUUUGGCGAUGUGGCGUUGUGUCGUGGUGGCUCGGAGCUGCAGGUAUUGCACGAAAUCAUCCGCAAGCGCUCCUGGGACGGCGUCGCUGCGGUGACGCAGAUUUCGUCGGACAUGGUGGUGAUCGAGAGUGUCACGGGGUGCCAGUGCCUGCUGCAGAAUAAGGGGAACGUGCGCGGGCUGUCCAUCGCGUUCCCCAACAUCGCCCUUUGGAACGGGUCGCAGAUCGACCUAUACACCAUCAACGAGGCCACGUCCGAAUUCACGUUCGUGAACUUUGUGCUGACGACGAGCCCCGCCUUUGCCAUACACCGUGACGGCCUCAUCUACGUCAAGGGCAAUCGUAUCGUAUUCGAGACGAUGCAGCUCGCCCCCAUCGCACAGAUGACUUUUACCGAGUCCGAAGGCGUCCCAGUGAUCAUAGACAUCAUGAACGACUACCUCGUGGCAGUAUCGUCGAAGAACUACCUGCGACUCGCCCGGGUUUCGUCGCGCGAUUUACAGCAAGCCGGGCCAACUCGCCCGCUGACGUUUCCCAGCGCAUCACAGCCAACUGCCUCGGACACUGCUAGUGGCGCACCAGCAGCGGCACCAUCUGCCGCCAAAGAUACCAAUGCGCUCGAAGUGUCGGUCUCCACGGCGCGUGUGAACGCGCAAGGCCGUCGAGUCGCCUUGAUGACCAGCCUGGGACCCCUCGCGUUGCCUGAUACGCGCAUCUGGGUGUACGACUCCGACACUGACAAGAUGUCGUCCUUUGACUUCGGCAGCCGCAAUGAGAUGCCGAACUCUGUCUACUGGAACACACCAGAGCCGAACACGGGCACCGUCGGCGAGUUCGAGUACAUCCUGCUUGCCUGUGAGACAUACCAGAUCCACACGGAUGACAAGAAGGCGGCAUCAGAGGAGGUGGCGACGCCAAAGGCCGGCACGGACGGCAUCAACGACAAGAACGAGAGCGCCGAUCGCCCAGCUGGGCAGGAGAAUCUUCCCGAGGCGUUGCCGAACAUGGAGAACUACGCGGAGAAGAAGGCUGAGCUGGAGGAUGCGCGCCGCGGGUCCAUUGGCGCCACAAACUACGUUGCCCAGCGCGCGCACAACAUCGUCACGUUGUUCGCGACGCACGACGGGUUGGUCGUGCAGAACGUUGCGUCGAUGCGACGGUAUCAAAUUUGUCUGGUAGGCCUCACCAUCCCCGACUUCCUGCUCGCCUCUGUGAAGAUCAACGGCAACCCGAACAACGCGGAGGACUACGUGAUUGAGCAGAAGCGGUUGCGCGACUUUGAGGGCCUGAAGUCGGACAAGGACGUGGCCGUGCGGGAGGCGUUGAUGAAGUUUAGCUACUAUGCAACUAUUGGCAACAUGGAUGAGGCGUACCGGUGUGUCAAGAGCAUCAAGAACCCGGCGGCGUGGCAAGGGCUGGCUCGCCUGUGCGUGACGAGCGGGCGCCUCGACGUUGCGGCGGUGUGCUUGUCUACGAUGGAGGACUGCGUGGCCGCACGUGCCUUGCGGGAGGCCAGAGAGGACUACCCCGAUGACAAAGGCGUGCAACUGGCGACGCUUGCGCUCGGCCUGGGCAUGACCGAGGAGGCAGAGGAGCUGCUGCGCAAGUCGAAACGCUAUGACCUGCUGACCGAUGUGUACAUGGCGUGCGGCAAGUUUGAGCACGCCCAGCGUCACUCCGAGCGGUUUGACCGCGCCCGCAUUCGCCCGGUCGCGUACAAGUACGCGCAGUUCAUGGAGAGCCUUCAGAACAUGGAUGCCGCCAUCAUGUGGUACUACAACGCCAAGUGCGCCGGCACCGAUGUGCCACGCAUCUUCUUCCAGACAAACCGCAUGCACGAGCUCCGCCAGCUGAUGGUGACACAGAGCCAGCCGCCAUCGCCGUCGGCCGGCGCCAGCGCGCCGACGGCCCAGCCAGGGCGUGAUGAGCGACAGUCCGCCUUUGCCGCCAUCUUUCCACAAAAUCGCGAGCUGCUGCUGUGGUGGGCGCAGCACAGCGAGCGGCGCCGCAAUGUGCAGGAGGCGCUGCGCUUCUACCACGCCGGCGAGGACGUCUACAACGUUGUUCGAAUUCUGUGCUCACUGACUCCGCCAAAGCUGGACAGUGCAGCGCAACUGGUGAAUAAGGAGAUCGAAAAGGCGAAGACGCGCUUUCAGCAGCAGCAAGCCUUUGCCGCCGCAGCGCCGAUCCACUGCGGAGACGACGAGCAAGGAGAGCCCGAUCCAGUGGGUGCCGCGUACUUUGUAGGGCAGCUGUACGAGCGACAGGGCAACCCUCAGCUGGCGCUGCAGUACUACCAGGCUGCCGGCGCAUACCGCAGUGGUGUUCGCGUCGCGUGGAAGACGGAGCAGUACGGCGUCGUAGUGAAUCUGGCGAUAAAGAGCUCCGACGAGCGUCUGAUGCUCGAGACGGCGAUGACGCUGGAGAAGCAGCAGGCGUACGACAAGGCCGUGCAGCUGUACCGCCGCAUCGGCGCCGUGCAAUGCGCCCUCGACGCCUGCGUGCGGGGCGGUCUGUACGAGACCCUGCACGAGGUGAGCGCCACCUUUGCCAGCGGCUCCACCGACCCGGCGGUCUUCCUCGGCAUGGCGGACCACUUCCAGAGCGAGGGCGACUACCAGAAAGCGGUGGAGAUGCUCCUCUUCGCGAAGCAUUUCGAUGAAGCGUUGAAGCUGUGCGAGAUGCGCAGUGUCACCCUGACAGAGGAGAUGGCAGAGUCUAUGACGAGCGACAUGGGCAAGCUGUCCAUGGAAGAGAGGCAGGCGGUGCUGCGUAGGGUGGCCCACAUUGCCAAGGAUCAGGGCAGCUGGUCCUUGGCAUGCAAAAAGUAUACUCAGGCUGGCGAUCGCGUCAAGGCGAUGCGGAUGCUCAUGCGUGGCGGUGAGACAGAGAAGGUCAUCUUCUUCGCAAACCACUCGCGCAACGUGGAAAUCUACACCAUGGCUGCGAACUUCCUGCAAUCGCAGAACUGGAGCACCGACGCGAGCAUCUACAAGAGCAUCAUUCUCUUCUACACAAAGGCGAAAGCAUGGACGAAUCUGCUCGUUUUCUAUGAGUCGUGCGCGCAGCUGCACAUCGACGAGAACCGAAACUACCCAGAGGCGCUGCGUGCGUUGGAGGAAUGCGUCGCCAUGGCCGAAAGCGGGUCAGCGGGCAAGGCGAACAUCGACAGCGAGAAGGUGGAGCAGCUGAAGCGGCGCGCCGAGGUACUGAAGGCGUUCGUGAAGGCGCAGAAGACGGUCGACUCUAUGGUAGUCGCCGACCGUGGCUCUGUCGCGGAGAAGGCGAAGGCGGACAGCGUCAUCGCCUCCUGCUCUGACAUCAUCAAACGCAGCCGCCCUUCCAGCCCAGAUCACGAUCUCAUACAAGACGCCCUCCGCAUUGGCGACGUGUUUGCUCUCAUGGUGCGCUUUUACUUUGACAAGCUCGGCGAGUCGAACAACGCGCUGAAGGUGAUGGAGAGCAUGCCGAAACACGGCGCCGAUCCGCAGUUCUUCAUUGAGACAGACUACAUGGAGCGGGUCUGCCAGGCCAACGGCAAGUCGCUUGCUAAUGUGUUGCCUGGCGUCAUGACGGCCGGCGCCCCUGGGGCAAUGUGGGAAGGAGGUCGAAAGGCGAGCACGGACACACGACGGUCCAGCGUGAUUGAUGAAGUAGAUCGGGCCGUCUAGUCUAGGCGACGGCACGGCGGUGUGCCCUCCAGCUCCUGCAUGGCAGGCUCACUCGCACUCCGCUGUAGAAGAACCCGUGGGUAUGGACGUGUGUACACGUGCAGAUGUGCGUGCCCGAGGGAGAGGAGGCAGACGUUUCUCUUGUACAUAUAUAUUUUGUGCUGUUGCUCGCCUCCCCUCCCCUCCUCACUGCCUCUCGUUGCGCGUGCGUGUGUGCUGGCUGCCGUGCUUUCAUGGCUAGUCUCUUUUUUUAGUUUUCCUCUGUCCGUUGCUCUCGCCACCCUCGCCGCCUCCACCUCAGCCGGUCUCAUCCUCACAUUGACCGACUUUGAUGGUGGCAGAGGCCACAGACUCCUUCCGUGUUGUCGGCGAGCAGCUCUCUUUGCUCUCCGUCGCUCUCGCUUGGAUGUAUAACAGCAGCAGUGAAGCAUAAAAAGCCCAUCGAAGGAGUCGGCCACUCACAUGGAUGGGACACGACGCGCUGACCAGCACGCGGAAGGCUUCCACUUGUUGCUACAAACUACCGCGUGUAGCAACAAGAGGAAAAGCAAGAGGCGAG
rnacentral:misc_RNA from 1 species